rnacentral:rRNA from 1 species
GAAUCGUCCAAACGUUGUUCGGAUUCACUGGGUUUAAAGGGCGCGUAGGCGGUGCGUUAAGUCGGCGGUGAAAUACUUCGGCUCAACCGGAGAAUUGCCGCUGAAACUAGCGUGCUCGAGGGAGGUAGAGGUGCGUGGAACUUCCGGUGGAGCGGUGAAAUGCGUUGAUAUCGGAAGGAACACCUGUGGCGAAAGCGAUGCACUGGACCUCUUCUGACGCUGAGGCGCGAAAGCCAGGGGAGCGAACGGGAUUAGAUACCCCGGUAGUCCUGGCCAUAAACGAUGGGGACUAGAGAGUAGAUGCUCCGAUGUAUUUACUCUCGAAGCAAAAGUGCUAAGUCCCCCACCUGGGGAGUAUGGUCGCAAGGCUGAA